rnacentral:snRNA from 1 species
UAUUGCUUCGACGGUAAUAUAUAAUACUAAAAUUGGAAUCAUACAGAGAAGACACGGCCCCUGCAGAAAGAUGACUUCACACAUAUCUUUGAAUUUUUU